UAAAUUGGUUUCUGGUCCCCUAUACACAAUUACCCUCCAUUAGUUAAAAAGAAAUUUAAUUCAUAUUUCCGUUGCCCCAAACAGUUGAACUAGCCUCAGACGGCUGAAGGUUUAUUUUCUGGACGGUUAACUAAAAUUUCUAACUCUGAAAUAUCUUUUAUUUUCCCACAUUUUCUCAGCAACCAAACAGACACUAGCACAAAACUACUCCCCCCC